GUAGGGAAUAUUGGGCAAUGGGCGCAAGCCUGACCCAGCCAUGCCGCGUGCAGGAUGAAGGCGCUCAGCGUUGUAAACUGCUUUUAUCUGGGAAGAACUGUAGGAUUGCGAUCUUGCUUGACGGUACCAGAGGAAUAAGCACCGGCUAACUCCGUGCCAGCAGCCGCGGUAAUACGGAGGGUGCAAGCGUUGUCCGGAUUUAUUGGGUUUAAAGGGUGCGUAGGUGGUGUCUUAAGUCUGGUUUGAAAGCAGGCGGCUUAACCGUCUGAUGUGGCUGGAAACUGGGGCACUUGAAUGGGUUGGCGGUAGCCGGAACGGGUCAUGUAGCGGUGAAAUGCAUAGAUAUGACCCAGAACACCGAUUGCGAAGGCAGGCUACUACGACUUGAUUGACACUGAGGCACGAGAGCAUGGGUAGCGAACAGG
rnacentral:rRNA from 1 species